rnacentral:rRNA from 1 species
UACAGAGGUCCCAAGCGUUGUUCGGAUUCAUUGGGCGUAAAGGGUGCGUAGGUGGCGCUGUAAGUCGGGUGUGAAAUUUCGGAGCUUAACUCCGAAACUGCAUUCGAUACUGCGGUGCUUGAGGACUGGAGAGGAGACUGGAAUUCAUGGUGUAGCAGUGAAAUGCGUAGAGAUCAUGGAGGAAGACCAGUGGCGAAGGCGGGUCUCUGGACAGUUCCUGACACUGAGGCACGAAGGCCAGGGGAGCAAACGGG